rnacentral:tRNA from 1 species
GGAGACGUGGCCGAGUGGCUGAAGGCGCUCCCCUGCUAAGGGAGUAGGCGGGAAACCGUCUCGUGGGUUCGAAUCCCAUCGUCUCCG